GCCUCCUUAGCUCAGCGGUAGAGCGCGUCACUAGUAAUGACGAGGUCAUCUGUUCGAUUCAGGUAGGAGGCA
rnacentral:tRNA from 1 species